CACUAAGAAGCUAACAUGGGUCUAGCGUUAGCCUUUUAAGCUAAAGAGUGGUGCCUCCCAAACACCCUUAGUGA
rnacentral:tRNA from 1 species